GCGAUCAUACCAGCACUAAUGCACCGGAUCCCAUCAGAACUCCGAAGUUAAGCGUGCUUGGGCGAGCAGUACUAGGAUGGGUGACCCCCUGGGAAGUCCUCGUGUUGCACCU
rnacentral:rRNA from 1 species